CACCGCGAUUAUACGAGAGGCCCAAGUUGAAUAAAAGCGGCGUAAAGAGUGGUUAAAUACAAGUUAACCAAAGUUAAACAACUUCAAGGCUGUUAGACGCAACCGAAGUAAUGAAAAUCUUCUACGAAAGUGACUUUAAACCUCUGACUCUACCAAAGCUGUGAAA
rnacentral:rRNA from 1 species